UACAGAGGGGGCAAGCGUUGUUCGGAAUUACUGGGCGUAAAGGGCGCGUAGGCGGCCUGUUAAGUCGAACGUGAAAUCCCCGGGCUCAACCCGGGAACUGCGUCCGAUACUGGCAGGCUUGAAUCCGGGAGAGGGAUGCGGAAUUCCAGGUGUAGCGGUGAAAUGCGUAGAUAUCUGGAGGAACACCGGUGGCGAAGGCGAUUCCCUGGACCGAGGCCGACGCUGAGGCGCGAGAGCGUGGGGAGCGAACCGG
rnacentral:rRNA from 1 species